CGAUGCUCCAAUCUCAGAAAUACAACAGAAGUACGAAGGGCGCUGGAUACCCAAGACCAACGACUUGGAACAUGUAUUUGUGCCAAUUUGGGAACCCGUAGACGCUUGGUACGUGAUGUUGUUGGAUGUUAAGGCCUCAAAAAUAUAUGCUUUAGACGUCAGUAGGUCUCCAAAAUCCAUUGUGCGAAGGGAAUCAAACAUGAACAAAAUUCGGCAUGCUUUAUAGAACAUGUUCAUCCACAGUAGGAACAUCGUUAACUUCUGCCACACAUCCCCUGACCCCUCAAAUUGGGGGAACUACAUCUACCCGGAGGGUCUGCCGAAAGACCUGCAGAGAGUCCGGCCUAUGGUGCUUAUCAUGGCUACAACACAAAGGGGGCUUCUCUACAAAAAUAUUCUGCCACAUCGGGAACUCUGAUGAAGUGCAAAUGAGAGUUGCGUUACACAUUGUGUAGUCUGACAUCAACCGGUACCGUGCUUUCGUUGAGAGCAAGGUAGAAGUUGUUUGGCAAGGAAUCACAUCUUCCCAUGACAAGGAGUCCGUCAACAAUGAAGGCAUCUGAUGGAUUCAUAUUGUUGUAAAUACUUUUGAACCAAAUGGCGUGCUCUGCUUUUGUGAUUCAGUGAUUUGUCAUUGUGUAGGUUAUUGGGAGAAGUGGUUGUAUUUUUUUGGGUUACAUAUGUAGUAGUAAGUAAGCAUGCAUGCAAUGAACUCAAUGUGGUGCAUUUUAAAUUGUCAUGACAACUUUAAUAUGCCUUUUUGGAGCAACUAAACCAUGGCCACCCAUGUUCCCAGUGAGUGGCCUAAUUUUAGUUGCCUUAGCUAGGGAGCACAGACAACCUCUCCCCUUUGCUGAAUGUUUCUGUUUAAUAUAUAUAAGGCUACAUCUAGUUACACCUUUUGGAGGUACAAUGCUGAAGAUUUCUUCACGUUUUACUGAUCUGUGUAUCCAAUCUUCCUAUGUAGUACUUUGCCAUGAAUUCUUUUUUAUAAUAGUACUUUUAACUACAGGAAGAGGGGCUCAAACCCCCAACCCUCA